GGCUGUGUAGCUCAGUUGGUAGAGCAGCGGAUUGAAAAUCCGCGUGUCGCCGGUUCAAUUCCGGCCGCAGCCACCA
rnacentral:tRNA from 3 species